GAAGAAUAGUUGGAAUCCACGUUUGUCGAUUGUUUUUGCUACCAGUCAGGAAUUUUAUUACCCCAAAUGUCUCUGUGUUAUGGAGCAGAUAUAUUUGCACCAUAUUAAUUAGGGAAACCGAUAAGAAUCAUACAGGAUUCAAUUAUCCUGCCUAUUAAAUCCGGGCGUUUCUCUGCAGCACACACGACGUUCACUUCCUGGCGCUGCUGAAAGAAAACUGGACUCUUUCUUGGCCGGCUUUUCAGUUAGGGGGUGUUCUACUGUUCUUGGCCCAGGGAGCGCCCCCCUCCCCUUUGCAGCCUUGCCCAGAGUCUUAUUCAAGGCGAUGGGCUCCACCCUCUGGCUGGAGAAAGACCUGCAGUCCCCCAAUUAGGUUAGUUGCUAUAGUGACACAGCCCUGUCAUUUUUCUCCUAUGGGGGAAGAAUUGCCAGGAAGAGCAGAGAGGAAGGGGCCCUCGAUGGGUUUCUUUGGAGACACACACCCCUCGCUGUGUGUACCGUCCCCGAAGCGCAGCGCCGGACGCUUGGGAAAGAGCUGUCUUGGGGGAGGGGAUGGGCUUGGGGUGAGACAGCUGGCAUCCUCCUUCGUGCUGGUCUGGGGGAACCUCUGUCCUCGUGGCUCAGAGCACCUGACUUCGAUCAAUCGUCCUCUGCGUGGCCUCUCCGGCGGGGACAGGUCUGCCUGGCCCUGGCUCUUGGCUGGGUGGGAAAGCUCUGGCGAAACCAGAGUGGUUUGCCUGGGUGCUGCGCGGGUCCCCGAGACCCCGGAGAUGCUGGCUUUACAGCAUCCCGGCUGUGAGAACAGUGACGGAGGUGAAAAGAAUGACGGGCCCGUGGCUGCCCUAUGAUGCUAAACCUUGCUUGGACCCUUAAGCGGAGUCUUAAAUUCCAAGUGGAGAAGGCUGUGUUUUCAUGUAGAUGGCCUGUCCCCUGUUUGGGGGCAGCCAUGUAGAUGGCGUGUCCCCCUGGCGGACGGCCGCUCCUGGCGUGUAAAUGGUGGGAGAAAAGUCUGUGUUUCAAAAUAGCAGGGAGCAGGGCUGGGGAGAGGCAAUGGGACUGAGGUUUUGACUUUUUUUUCCCAAAUAAAUCCCAUCAAAAUUGAAAUGUAGCUAUAACUGAAAUCUCCUGGCCUCGGCUGCAAGUAUGAGAAGAAAUUACAAACAACUUCUGAAUUGUUUUUAAUCCAUUAGAAUCCUAACUGAGCGUGGGCUCUCCGAUGCUGCAUAUCCUAUAUAAAUACAAUUUAUUGCGUAUUUAGGAGAGAUUAGAAUGUGCCACUUUCCUGCUGUUCAAAUUUUAUUUCUGGGGUUUUCAAAGAGGUAAAAUUGAAAAUCCUGGAAACUUAAUGAAGUGAUGCCAUUCAGAAGUUUUUUCCUCAUCUUUUUUUUUCCUCCUACUGUGUGUUUUAUUUGAUGAAGUUCUGGCAGCAGAAGAUGCUGUGUCUUUCUGCUGCAUAAAGGCGGGUCACCUGCUUGUGGGACUUGUAUUAGCAGAACUCCUUGCCACCUCCCCCGGGAUUGUCUCUGACCCCUCGCUCCCAGCAGCGAGGCCAGGGGACAGCGAUUCCCCAAGGGGCUGCGUGCCACGACUGACUCAGCGUGCCAGGUCUUCCGCACCAGGCCUCCGGCCCGAAUUCCGCCCUGGAAUUCCACGCGCAGACCUGCCACUUGGCAUCCCUGGCAUGAAAUAUGGAGAUCGACUUUCGUGGCGUGAAGUAUUUUCAGGUGACUUUUAUGGGCGUAAUUAUGGGGAAAUGUUAUGAUAAUGUGGCACUAGAAAAGGGGAGAAAAGCAAAACAUUAAAAUCCUCAUUUCUUUAUAUAGCUUCGCAGCUGCGCUGAUGGAGAAGGCUCAUUUUUGCAUUAAGACGUGGUGCUCUGGAGUUAAUGACCUCUACAGAAUGCCACCUGUCACCCUGAGCCGUGGGUGCCGGUCGAGCGAUGGGGAGAAGACUGGCUGACAAGGGGACAUGGGUCAGGGUCCCCCGAGGGAGAGGGGAUCAGAUGCUGAUCAGAGAGGGGGCGGGACCUGCACCUGCUGGGGUUUGUUGGUUCAGGGGGUUGUCACUGGCUGUCCUCGUAAGGGCCCGGGCUGGCACACGGGGCUCAGAGUGCCUGGUAGUGUCCCUUCCUGCUGCAGCUGUGCACGCCACCCGAAGACCCUCGAGCUGAGCGGGGGUGGCCGGGCUGUCCCAGGAAGCGGCCAGCCGUGGGCUGCUUCUCCCUGCUCCUCCCCUCCGAGUCAUUUCCACAUAAGGGCCCUGGGUGGCACUACCUGAAACUCCCAGCAGGCAGCACAAGCUCCUGCCUGGGUGACUGGGCUUUCCAGAGAUGCCCGGCGGCUGGCAGCUGGUCCAGGCAACUCUCCUUCACCCCGAGAACAGGGUGGGGGGCUCCCGCAGGCUUUGUCACGUUCGCUGGUUUAUCCCAGUGGCUGGCAGGAGUUGAGCGCAGAAGCACUUUUGUCUCCAAAGGGGCCGGCGGGACUCCUCUGGAAUCCCCUGGUCCUGUGUGGCUCUCGGGGUGGGGGUGGGGGUGGGGGGGCAGGUCCAACUUCGCGAGCCCUUGGCAUCCUGGGAAUGGCAGGCCUGGGCCCUGGGUGGGAUGUCCCCGGGCGAGGCCCCACUCAUCUAAAUGCUCCCGCUUCCCCGUCCUGGGUCCUGCCGCGGCACCUGCUGUGGAGUCAGCCUCCCCCGGGAGGGGCCCGCCUCUCUGGGCACCCCGGGACCUGGCUCCCCUUCCAGGUGUGGGGAGUGAGGCCUGGGGAGCCAGUGCCAGGCCUGUGCCUCAGCUUGCUCAUGUGACGAGGACUUGGGAAGUGUGGGCAUCCCAGGGAGGGGGCUGGACGGGCAGCACAGAGCAGGCAGGGGAGCAGGGCCUCGAGCGGCCGGGCUGGGCACCCUGCUCUGCUGGGUUCCUCGCUGGCCUCUCUCCGGCACAGCCUGCCUGACCUUCCGGGGUGGCCCUGGGUCCCCUUUCCAUUCCGGACCCUUCUCUUCCCUGCCCAGGCCUGGCCAGGGCCUCUGCACUGCAAGGCAGCCUCUGGCUCUGUCCCUGUGCCCAGCCUCCUGCAAGUCCUUGUCCCAAACUUAGCCGUUCUCCAGGUCUGUCUCCACCACUGUCACCCGAGUCCCUCCUGGACACUUCAGCAUGGUCCUCGGUGGCCCCUCUGCCUCCAGGCUGGCCACCGGGGGGAUCCCCACGCACGGCUCCCCUGGGACUGGAGCUGUGCCAUCCCCUCCCCGUCGCUCCCCACCUCCUGCCACCUCACUCCAGGCCUCCUAAAGCCGCAUCUUCCUGGCCAGGUGGCCCUCUCCCGCCCCGGCCUGGCCCCGCAGGUCCAGGGCUCCGGGAUCCCUUCCUGGGACCGUGGUGUGUGCGCCUCCCCCUGCAUGUCCGGCCUGUUGACUGCCGCGAUCUACUGCCCACCCGGCCCGGCGCACCUGACACCCUGCAGUGCUGCUCAAUGGGAAGGCACCUCUGAGAUGGACAGGCUCCAGACCUGCCUGCCGCCAGCGCUGGGGACCCCUCCUCCAGGAAGCCUUCCCUGAGUACACUGCCUCCUCUCCCUGGCCAGGGCUCCCUGUGGUCAUCUGGAUGCCUGCCGUCAAGGCUUAGCGCCCAGGCAUGGCUUCUUGCCCCUAGGUCCCUGACUGCCUGAUUCUCUGAGCAAACGCUCCUGGCGCCCUGGGGGUUAAGCUGUGAUGGGGCAAGGCGGAGGGUCUGGGACAGACGGUCUGAGACAGACCUGAAAGUCUGGGGGUGGAGCCUAAGGACGAGGGGUGGGGCUGAAAGUCUGGGGGUGGAGCCUAAGGUCUGGGGAGGACUCGAAAGUUUGGGGCGAGGGCGGGAGGAUUAGGGAAGGGGCCGGAGAGCUGUGGUCUGAAAAAUGGAGUCCUGGGAUUUCCAGGAUCAAAUUGGGUUCGACUGAUGUCAGAUUAAAAAGGAGAAAAAGAAAACCGUGUGGCUUCUCGGAUGAAAUGUUCGCUGUUUUAAAAAUGUCCCUGGUGGGGCCUGCGCACCGGCCGCCAGCGCGGAAGACUCCCCGCACCUCCCGUCCCUGCUCCUGCCUUGAAACCUCCGCCCUUAUUUUCCUGCAAUGCUGACCUUCCCUGAUGCCCCUCUCUUGGGGGUUUCUGCCCCGUGGCGCUGUGACCGGCGCGGCCUGGCCACGCUGGGCGGGCUGCCCUCACGGCGGGGUGCUGGGCAGCAUCCCUGACCCCCACCCUCUGAUGACGUCAGUAGCACCCCGAUCCCGUGUGACCACCAAGCCUUGUCUGUGUGUCUCCCUGGGACAGACUUUACCCCGCAAGGGGGCCCCUGGUUUCCUUUCCUGGCGUUUCCUGGUUUGUUGAACAAAGACUCUGAUUCUGGAGCUCGUGCCAGCGGCGUGACAACCCCACGGCCGUGUCUGGAGCGGAACAGCCGGCACGGGGCUCUGAGGACAGUCAGCCGGUCCCCUUCCGCGGCAGGUGCACCUCCGCAGCGCGCCUGGGAGGGGACGGCGUCUCUGCAGGUCUCUAGGGCUCGCAAGCCGCCUUGGGGCUCCCGGGUUCCUGGGAGCCCCUUCUCCACAACAUCAUGUGUCCUUAUCGUGGGAGUAACUGUGUUGCCGCUGGUGAUAAAGCCAUUUAGAGGCAAACCUUCUGGAUCGUGUGAUGACAGGGGAGCCCACCGCCCUUCCGACUUCUACCCACAGGCCGGUUGAUGCUGGCCUUCUCAGGGGACAGCGAAGUCCUUGGGCGUAAGAUUUGGAGAUUUCUGUCUAGAGCCCACCAGAACAAAUGCAGAAAUGCCUUUCCCUCCAGAAAGUUCUUCUGCAGCCGGCAGGAGCCUUGGCUGCCCGGAAGGUGCCUUUAUUCCGUUGUUUUUGGGGGGUGUGUGUGGUGGAGCCUGUUGCCCCGAUCCCUGGUGGGUUCUGUUCCAGCCUGUGCCCACCAGCUGGCCUUGUCCCUGGACCCAAGGAACCCCUGCAGGGGGUCAGCAGGCUUGCGCUGGCAGAUGGAGCAGGCAGACCCCCUCAGCCUCAGGAUGCCCCCACCCCAGGCAGCCCAUGGCCAUCGUCCCCUUCCUGUCACCACCCUCACGCCUUCCGUGACCCUGGGGGGCAGAGAGCGGUCCCUCGGUGCACCUGCCAGGAUGUGUUGCUGCGUGUGUGUGAAGAAGUGUCAGACAGCCCUCUCGCACGCACACACACACGCACACCUGUGCAGGUCGCCGACACCCCCACACCCAGCCUGCAUGUUGCAUUUCAGCCUCAGCCCCUUCAAAGUUCUAGUCCCUGGAGAUCCCGGUGGGGUGGGGGUGGGGGGUGUUCGAGACUCGACUGUUCCCAAUGCUUUUCCUCCCCAUUUAGUCCCUUUUUUAAAAAAUGUAUUUAUUUUGCAUUAUUUUUUAAUUAGAGAAUGGUUGCCUUACAAUGUUAGUUUCAGGUUUACGGUAAAGCGAAUCAGCCGUAUAUAUAUGAAUAUAUAUAUUCAUUCUUUUUCAGAUUCUUUUCCGUACAGAUUAUUACAGAAUGUUGAGCAGGGCUCCCUGUGCUGACAGCAGGUCCUUGUCGGUUGUCUGUUUUCUCUGCGGUCAUGUGUGUGUGUGUGUGUGUGUGUGUGUGUGUGCGUGUGUUAAUCCCAACUCCCAAUUUGUCCCUUCUCCACCUGCGCUUUCCCUUUGGUGGCCAUAAGUUUGUUUUAGACAGUGUGAGCCUGUUUCUGUUCAUUCAGCC
ensembl:lncRNA